UAUUCUGCCCAGUGUCUAAAUAGAUAAAUGGCCGCAGUACCCUGACUGUGCUAAGGUAGCAUAAUCAAUUGGCUUUUAAUUGAAGUCUGGAAUGAAAGGAUAAAUGGGAUUAUUCUGUCUCUUAGGUAUUAUUAUAAAUUUAUUUAAAAGGUGAAAAUACCUUUUUUUAAAAAAAAGACGAGAAGACCCUAAGAAUUUUUAAAAUCAUCGAAUUAUUUCGACUUUUUUUUUGUUGGGGCGACAAUUUAGAAAAUUAAACCUAAAUUUUUAAUAAGGCGAAUUUUUUAAGUAAAAUAAAAUUACCUUAGGGAUAACAGCAUAAUUUAUUAAUAGUUUGUGACCUCGAUGUUGGACUAGGAACUUUAUGGCUAGCAGUCAAAUAAGAUUUAUUCUGUUCGAAUAAUUAUAUCCU
rnacentral:rRNA from 1 species